rnacentral:rRNA from 1 species
AGUCGUAACAAGGUUUUCCUUCCGGUUAAAUCAUCAACCCAGUGAAGCCUGACAUGGCGACUAUAAAGCAAUCAUGGAGUCCAGCCCAACAGGGCAGGACAAUACCGCCGAAUUGCUGUAAGCAACUGACUUUGUUGUACCAGCAGCCCUCAAGUGGGCCCACAGAUCAAGCCGCGGUGGUCUCGUCUAGAAAUGCUAGAGGACUUUAAUAUGACCGGUCUCGCCUGUGAUGGCUGGGAGUCGACGUUCCGUAGGUGAACCUGCGGAAGGAUCAUUACCGAGUUAGGGUCUUCUGGCCCGACCUCCAACCCUCUGUUUAUUUUACCCUGUUGCUUUGGCGGGUCCGCCCUCAGGGGCCGCCGGGGGUCUUGCCGCCUCUGGCCUGUACCUGCCAGAGGCCUUUAUUAAUUCUCUAUAAACGUGAUGUCUGAGCAUAAAAAUAAAUCGUUAAAAACUUUCAACAACGGAUCUCUUGGUUCUGGCAUCGAUGAAGAACGCAGCGAAAUGCGAUAAGUAAUGCGAAUUGCAGAAUUCAGUGAGUCAUCGAAUCUUUGAACGCAUAUUGCGCCCUUUGGCAUUCCGAAGGGCAUGCCUGUUCGAGCGUCAUUAUCAACCGUCAAGCCUGGCUUGUUGUUGGGCCUGUUGUCGCCAUAAGCGAUAGGUCCGAAAGAUAAUGAACGGUGUCAUGGUGGCCCUAUAUGUAACGAGCUUUUAAGAGCACGCAUUUAGUGGUCGGCAGGCCCGGUCUAACCCAUCAUUUCAAGGUUGACCUCGGAUCAGGUAGGAAUACCCGCUGAACUUAAGCAUAUCAAUAAGCGGAGGAAAAGAAACCAACAGGGAUUACCCUAGUAACGGCGAGUGAAGCGGUAACAGCUCAAAUUUGAAAUCUGGCCUUUACAGGUCCGAGUUGUAAUUUGUAGAGGAUGUUUCGGGCAAGGCUGUGGUUUAAGUUUCUUGGAACAGAACGUCAUAGAGGGUGAGAAUCCCGUCUAGAACCGAUAGCCGCGUCCAUGUGAAACUCCUUCGACGAGUCGAGUUGUUUGGGAAUGCAGCUCAAAAUGGGUGGUAAAUUUCAUCUAAAGCUAAAUAUUGGCCAGAGACCGAUAGCGCACAAGUAGAGUGAUCGAAAGAUGAAAAGCACUUUGAAAAGAGAGUUAAACAGUAUGUGAAAUUGUUGAAAGGGAAGCGCUUGCAACCAGACUUGCGUGUAGCGGUUCCCCCAGUCUUUUGACCGGGCUAUUCCGUUAUAUCCAGGCCAGCAUCGGUUCGGGUGGUUGGUUAAAGGCCUUGGGAAUGUAUCUACCUCCGGGUCGACUUAUAGCUCAGGGUGCAAUGCGGCCUACCUGGACCGAGGAACGCGCUUUUGCUCGGAUGUUGGCGUAAUGGUUGUAAGCGGCC